AGAUGACUUCCUCUCGUGCCAUAUUUGCAUUCUGGGGAGUAGCAGGGAGACCUUGGCUGUGCCUGACUGGGCAAGUGUGAUUUGGAAGUGAUAUUCAUA
ensembl:miRNA